rnacentral:lncRNA from 1 species
UUUAGAUAUCAAGAAGAAGAUGAAGGGAUUCAGGAAAUGCUUUCAAAAAAAGGAUUUGUAGAAGAUGAUUGAGUACAUCUUGGUAGUGUUUAUAGCACAUCCCUUUAUAUAUAUCUGUCAAUGACUCACCAGCUUACCAUAUGCAUAAUGCUACUUCAUGGUUUCUUAUCUUCUGGAAAUACUCAUUGAAGCACUACAAACAGAAAUAUCACUUUUUUUCUCUCUUUGCAAAGAAGAAAGUUUUAUUUUACCAUUGGGAAAAUUAUUCACAAGUCUUGCCAAAAAAAAGUGAAAGGAUUAAAAUAUUACGCAAAAAUA